rnacentral:rRNA from 1 species
CCUACGGGAGGCAGCAGUGAGGAAUAUUGGUCAAUGGACGCAAGUCUGAACCAGCCAUGCCGCGUGCAGGAAGACGGCUCUAUGAGUUGUAAACUGCUUUUGUACGAGGGUAAAUCCCGAUACGUGUAUCGGGUUGAAAGUAUCGUACGAAUAAGGAUCGGCUAACUCCGUGCCAGCAGCCGCGGUAAUACGUAGGGAGCAAGCGUUAUCCGGAUUUACUGGGUGUAAGGGGGGCGCAGACGGCAAUGCAAGCCAGGAGUGAAAGCCCGGGGCCCAACCCCGGGACUGCUCUUGGAACUGCAUGGCUGGAGUACAGGAGGGGCAGGCGGAAUUCCUAGUGUAGCGGUGAAAUGCGUAGAGAUCAUACAGAACACCGAUUGCGAAGGCAGCUUACCAAGCUACUUCUGACGUUGAGGCACGAAAGCGUGGGGAGCAAACAGGAUUAGAUACCCCAGUAGUC